rnacentral:lncRNA from 1 species
CUCUAUGUGUGGUUCCUCUAUGUGUGGGUCCUCUAUGUGUGGGUCCUCUAUGUGUGGUUCCUCUAUGUGUGGGUCCUCUAUGUGUAGGUCCUCUAUGUGUGGGUCCUCUAUGUGUGGUUCCUCUAUGUGUAGGUCCUCUAUGUGUAGGUCCUCUAUGUGUGGGUCCUCUAUGUGUGGGUCCUCUAGGCGUGGGUCCUCUAGGCGUGGGUCCUCUAGGCAUGGGUCCUCUAUGUGUGGGUCCUCUAUGUGUGGUUCCUCUAGGCGUGGGUCCUCUAUGUGUAGGUCCUCUAUGUGUGGUUCCUCUAUGUGUAGGUCCUCUAUGUGUGGGUCCUCUAGGCGUGGGUCCUCUAUGUGUAGGUCCUCUAUGUGUAGGUCCUCUAGGUGUGGGUCCUCUAUGUGUGGGUCCUCUAUGUGUAGGUCCUCUAUGUGUGGGUCCUCUAUGUGUAGGUCCUCUAGCCGUGGGUCCUCUAGGCGUGGGUCCUCUAUGUGUAGGUCCGGGGGGGGGGG